rnacentral:rRNA from 1 species
GAUGAACGCUGGCGGCGUGCCUAAUACAUGCAAGUCGAGCGAACGGACGAGAAGCUUGCUUCUCUGAUGUUAGCGGCGGACGGGUGAGUAACACGUGGAUAACCUACCUAUAAGACUGGGAUAACUUCGGGAAACCGGAGCUAAUACCGGAUAAUAUUUUGAACCGCAUGGUUCAAAAGUGAAAGACGGUCUUGCUGUCACUUAUAGAUGGAUCCGCGCUGCAUUAGCUAGUUGGUAAGGUAACGGCUUACCAAGGCAACGAUGCAUAGCCGACCUGAGAGGGUGAUCGGCCACACUGGAACUGAGACACGGUCCAGACUCCUACGGGAGGCAGCAGUAGGGAAUCUUCCGCAAUGGGCGAAAGCCUGACGGAGCAACGCCGCGUGAGUGAUGAAGGUCUUCGGAUCGUAAAACUCUGUUAUUAGGGAAGAACAUAUGUGUAAGUAACUGUGCACAUCUUGACGGUACCUAAUCAGAAAGCCACGGCUAACUACGUGCCAGCAGCCGCGGUAAUACGUAGGUGGCAAGCGUUAUCCGGAAUUAUUGGGCGUAAAGCGCGCGUAGGCGGUUUUUUAAGUCUGAUGUGAAAGCCCACGGCUCAACCGUGGAGGGUCAUUGGAAACUGGAAAACUUGAGUGCAGAAGAGGAAAGUGGAAUUCCAUGUGUAGCGGUGAAAUGCGCAGAGAUAUGGAGGAACACCAGUGGCGAAGGCGACUUUCUGGUCUGUAACUGACGCUGAUGUGCGAAAGCGUGGGGAUCAAACAGGAUUAGAUACCCUGGUAGUCCACGCCGUAAACGAUGAGUGCUAAGUGUUAGGGGGUUUCCGCCCCUUAGUGCUGCAGCUAACGCAUUGAGCACUCCGCCUGGGGAGUACGACCGCAAGGUUGAAACUCAAAGGAAUUGACGGGGACCCGCACAAGCGGUGGAGCAUGUGGUUUAAUUCGAAGCAACGCGAAGAACCUUACCAAAUCUUGACAUCCUUUGACAACUCUAGAGAUAGAGCCUUCCCCUUCGGGGGACAAAGUGACAGGUGGUGCAUGGUUGUCGUCAGCUCGUGUCGUGAGAUGUUGGGUUAAGUCCCGCAACGAGCGCAACCCUUAAGCUUAGUUGCCAUCAUUAAGUUGGGCACUCUAAGUUGACUGCCGGUGACAAACCGGAGGAAGGUGGGGAUGACGUCAAAUCAUCAUGCCCCUUAUGAUUUGGGCUACACACGUGCUACAAUGGACAAUACAAAGGGCAGCGAAACCGCGAGGUCAAGCAAAUCCCAUAAAGUUGUUCUCAGUUCGGAUUGUAGUCUGCAACUCGACUACAUGAAGCUGGAAUCGCUAGUAAUCGUGGAUCAGCAUGCUACGGUGAAUACGUUCCCGGGUCU